UCAGCAGCCGCCAACGAGCUUGAUCUUCUACAAUGCACUGCGACCUAUGCAGCUAAAACUAAAGCAGGCCGUACAACAGGCCGAACAGAAGAUACCAGACAGCUCGUGAUCAUUAAGUACGUCUGCUCUGCUGCCGUCAACGAGGAUACAUAUCCGUCGACCUUGACAAAAAAUCUUUUCCCUUUUUGUCAUGUCUAGAAUGUCUAAUUUUCAAUGUAGCUAUCUAAUCAUUGACGAGCGUUCUACAUGAGCUACCUAGGGUGCAUUCGUCCGGCCAUCACUGACAUUAACAACGCAGCUGGCGAUUCUACCGUGAGACCUUUAUGAAAUUGUGCCAGUAGUAUCCAUUCGCGUCAUGCUCUUGUGUGAUUUCCUGCUCGAUAUUGAGACGCGGACCUACUGCGAAAAUGCCCGCCAACGUUUUCGUAUGACCGCCAACAUGCUGCCUUUGGUAGCGACAUCUAUUUGCUUCGCCUCCCCGCCAUGUUGCUCAGCGUAGAGGAAGGCAGGCUUGCUUACCUCCAUACAGCUAUACCUCUGCAUCUCGUUUUCUGUCGUUAUGCCUCCCCCAGGCGACCACGCCAGCAACUCGCUGGCACCAGCUUGGCCACUCGUAAAGAACAAGCUCCAUCUAGUGUUCGUUGCUGCUGUCGCCGCUACCGCCACAACCGCUUCCGCUUACAACGCCGCCCAAUGUCGUUGUCGUCUCUCUUUGCGUUGGCCUCCACUGCCCCACUCGGCCGGCCGGCCGACCGGCCGGUAACUCGUUGUCCCGAGUUCUGGCUUCUGCGCUGCUACCUGCAUCUCACUACGACGACAGCAGCCGCGCCUACGUGGUAUCGACAAGUUGCGGGUGUGUCAAACUAACAGCUGAAUCCGCUAUUAUCAUAGUCUCAACCUACAGCAUGCGGAAAACAGGGGUAGAUUAUACAGGUCCCCUAUUAUUGAUGUACAUACCGAGCUGCCACCAUGUCCUAUAAUUCUAUGUGUCGUACAUUCGCCUCUUUACAGCACUAGGUGAGUUCUGUGUGACCAGUUUGUUCUGAAGGUUGGACCCCCAUUCUCGAGACACAGGGCAAGCACAUUUGUCGUAUUUAGCGCAUAACGUGGCAGGAAACAAGGCUGUCUGAGAGUUCUAACUCGCCUCGAACAAAUGUAAAAUCGGUGUUGUCCACAGCGGCCUUAGCAUUGGUGCACUAUUAACACUUGCUGCCUUCCUUUUCUGUGGCUGCUAGUGGUCUACGGCGGCGCUAGUGGGAUGUGGGGAAGCAGCCCUCUCUAGCGAAGGUUGAGAAAGGUGUGGACAGGAAAAUGGGUUUGAGUUCGGUGACAUUUAUGUGUUGCGAACCGCAGGAGAGAAAAAUGUUCGCCGGGUAGAGAAAAGUGAGCUGCACGAUGCCGGCUGUGCCAUCUACGGGUGAACGAGCGUGUGCCAGGAGGCUGACGUUCGAAUGGUGGCUAUAUGCUACAAGUCUGACGAGGUGUGCUACACAUCGCCUGUAAAAUAGGACAUGGCUCCAUUGUGUGGUUGCUCAGAUCGUGUUCUUACUGCAGACGACGGCGACGACGACGACGACGACGAUGAUGGUGGUAAUGAUGAUGACAACGAUGGAAGGACGCGAAACUGCGGAUAGCAGCCGACGGAACACCUGAGCGAGCCAUAACAAUGUCAUAUGGGUCAUAAGAAAAGGAGCAUAGCACAUGUGAUGGCGCGCCAAUCGUCUGAAUAGAGGGAAAAGGCGCUAAAUACUCUCUAACGAGUGAUCAGGACAAAAAAGUCAUGACGAAACAUGAUAGAGGAGGCCGAACGAAGUUGCAGGCUUCACACUAUCAGUCAUAACCAUUGAAAUGUUGGCUAUACAGGCAAAUAAUACUAAUAUAAAAGUACAUCUCCGUACAUCAUGGAAAUCCGGGUACAAUUUUGAAUUUUUGUCUGUAACUAAACGUUAGGUUAAGCAAUAGUUUAUUCUAAAAACAUGUGAUUAUUAUGCCAAAAGAUCACUAAUGUCCAAAUGGAGGGGUGUUUUACUUUUAUGUGUUAGUUCGUUUUGGGAAAAGGCCUCGAUUUCCAAGAAGAUUUUCCAGAAAAAUCUGCUCCCACCGACAUUUUGCAUCUGUAUACGUGGGCCUGGAUUUAAGUUGUCAGCAAUAUUGAGUCUGUGAGGCACUUCCUUUCGUAAAUCAUCUUCAACUUUUAGGAGAAGCACGAAAAAAGAGCAGAUCAACUAUUUUCUAGGUUAUUAUUAAUUGGUUAUUACAAUAUUCAGGUAACAGAAAAGUCAUCACAAAUAGUUUGGGCUGUGACGACUUAUUUUUACACCAAGCGUUGCCAAAGGCAAUGACAUCUCGAACUGAUUACACAUUUUGUGUAUUACAUUGCAUCGAAUAACACGGUUUAUUGCCGAUCAUUGCAGUGACUGUUGAUUGAAAUCAUCAAUCUCUGAUCUGUUGCAGGUCCAACAGAGAUUCACAAUCUUUCAAACGAUCAAGGCGACAUAGGUCCUAUUAGUGUCACAAUCAAGAAAUCUAUUUAACUGUAUCAAACGUGUUACUCCGACAUUUAUCUACCGCGUGCAUUGUCGCAUAGAAAUCCGCCAAUAUACGUUACUCGCUCACCAACUCGGAUCUAUGCGCGGAACCUCGUUCCAUCCAUCCAUCCAUCCAUCCAUCGGGUAAAAUUCUCAAUGAUCUGACAUCCUUGAGUGAUUGCUUCUACUGCAGUGAUCGUUGCCCAAUAGAUCAAAAGAUCUCUAUUUUUAUAAUGCAGGUAGUGGUCAAGUAUCGGUUGUGGCCAGAUGGCCUAUCGCAACGUAAACCUCCUUUUCGUGGAUAUCUCUGGCAAAAGCUGCUGUCGUCAGCAGUAGUUGGUCUAUAACAUGUACGUACUAUCCACGAUGACACAAUGUUAAUACUUAGUUUUUACAUUCUACUACGAUUUCACUAUGCAAGCGAGAGCAAAAGAUUAUACGCUGUAGAAAAUAGUAAUGAUAUGACUAAUUUGUACUAGAGAGGUGACAGGUAGAAGCCACAAAAAAGAGCGUCCUAUCUUCCGAAGCCAAGUAAAGGCUUUCGUUGAAACAGAUUGAAACUCUGCCUUUAUAGAGCUUUUAGUCUCUUUCAUUACAUGAUGAAUCAUCUAACGAUAUUAGGAUUAAAAUAGAUCAGCUAUUAUAUCCAUUGUCUGCUGUUUGGAAUAGCGGGAAUAGCGAUACAUAUAUGGUUUUUUUAAGUAUUUUUGCUCGAUUAUGGCACCAUGGAUUAAUGGCCGAUGCAAUGGAACGGGGGAGCCUGUGUAUACAGGUUUCAGCUGAGCCAAUUCUAUCCAUAGAACCGUCAAGUUUCGAAGAUAAAAGGUAAUUCGGUGUACCGUACACUUCUAUGAAAGCUAACGUAACCAGUGCAUAUAUGUAUGCGGCACAGUAGCGUGUGGUAACUAUGGGGCGUUAUAACAACGGUUCAAGUAGGGAAAUAACUACCUAGA